ACGGCGCCGGCGUGCCCCGCCUACACCUAGGGGCGAGGGACCGGGGAGGUUCGUGGGUCGUGCCGUGGCUCAGGGCCGCGGGGUCCAGUUCCCUGGAGCGGGUGGCUGCUGACACGCGUGUGCAUGCCGGGGAACACCUCCCGGUGGUGGUGCUUCAGGCGCGGGGAUCAAGAGUCAGACUCUGAGGAACAUGACUCAAGGCUGGAGGGCCUCAAGAGUCCAGCCUGCUGCAGGCACCUAAAGCCCUUGGGCACCAAGUAGCUUGCACAGUCUAGUGACGGGGAACUUGCCACCUACUGAGCUGGCCUAGUUUUCCCUGGACAGCGCGGCCUGUUGGUUCCUUAGAAUGCAAACAAGAGCUGUCACUGACGCACAAAGCGCCUACUGUGUGCCGGGCAUUGUGCAGUAAAGGCUGAAAAAGGGAAAGGUUGCCCAGAAAACUUCACCCACACGCUGUACUGUGAACUUUUAAAGGAUGGAUGAAACGCCCCAUUUCCAGGCACUUCAUAGCAUCCCAAACAUGAGUCAUCUUGGCGAAGAGGAUGUGACAUCCAAGGGCGACCACAGGGCCUCUCUCUCAACACUCGUGAGAACCAGAUUCUUCCCCCUGGUUCUGGAGCUCCCAGCGGAGUUCUGGAAGCUGAUGAGAGAGAACAUCAGAAAUAAUAGAUCACUUGCCCACGGAGACACCAGCUGCAGUGUUUUCGGGAGAGGCUUGUGUGAAGAGGAACUAUGGUUUCCUGC